AUUAAUAGGAGGGAGAACUGCAUGGUCCAGUUCCCAGAAGCCAGCUUGCUGGGCCAAGUGCAAAGCAAGCAAACGGUCAUGAAGCCUUGGUAUUUUAAGCCUGGGGCAUCUGGUUCAGCUUCUCUACAACUAUAGAUGGGUCUACAUUCCUACUCAUCGUGGGUGGAAAAACAGACUGAAAGAAAUUGACAACCCUUAAAAAGCAGCAUAAGGUCCCCUUGAUUCCGCAGCUCCCCCCUCUUCACUUUGGAAGAUGAUCGCGACCGUCCAGUUUUCAGAAGAGCUUCUUCCUGGUGUUCUCACCCCUCAAUGCUUGGCCAAGUGGUCGGUCCGCUUUGCCAUCACGGUCAGCUUGUAAGUCUCCAGAAGAAGAAAAUGUGUGCCUCACUUGGGUUUUCUACUAACGACCUGGACAGUAUGCUACUCAAAAACAACAGACUUAGAUAUGUACUGAGUAACGGCUCUGUGUGGGGCACCAUACCAGUUCCUACAGACUCAUCGGUGGACAAAACAAACCAAAAUCUGUGCUUUUUGACAGCUUCAGUUCGAGUGGGGAACAGGAAAACAAGCAAUCGGCUCAUGUUCUCAGAAAAAGUACGGUGACGGGUCACUCAGAGUGUCGCAUUUUUAUGUUGCAGCAGUCAAAAACAGCAAUAGCGUCCUGGGCUCCGAACCCAGGCCCUUUUCGAUCCAAAGCCACAAAUGCUAUUCUGAUGACCUGGACGGAGACCAUUUGCAGCAUAGUUUUGGUCAUGAUCUCACGGUUGGUGGGUUCCAGCCCCACGUCGGGCUCUGCGUUGACAGCGUGGAG